UGGCGGCGUGCUAUACAUGCAGUCGAACGCUUCUUUCCUCCCGAGUGCUUGCACUCAAUUGGAAAGAGGAGUGGCGGACGGGUGAGUAACACGUGGGUAACCUACCCAUCAGAGGGGGAUAACACUUGGAAACAGGUGCUAAUACCGCAUAACAGUUUAUGCCGCAUGGCAUAAGAGUGAAAGGCGCUUUCGGGUGUCGCUGAUGGAUGGACCCGCGGUGCAUUAGCUAGUUGGUGAGGUAACGGCUCACCAAGGCCACGAUGCAUAGCCAACCUGAGAGGGUGAUCGGCCACACUGGGACUGAGACACGGCCCAGACUCCUACGGGAGGCAGCAGUAGGGAAUCUUCGGCAAUGGACGAAAGUCUGACCGAGCAACGCCGCGUGAGUGAAGAAGGUUUUCGGAUCGUAAAACUCUGUUGUUAGAGAAGAACAAGGACGUUAGUAACUGAACGUCCCCUGACGGUAUCUAACCAGAAAGCCACGGCUAACUACGUGCCAGCAGCCGCGGUAAUACGUAGGUGGCAAGCGUUGUCCGGAUUUAUUGGGCGUAAAGCGAGCGCAGGCGGUUUCUUAAGUCUGAUGUGAAAGCCCCCGGCUCAACCGGGGAGGGUCAUUGGAAACUGGGAGACUUGAGUGCAGAAGAGGAGAGUGGAAUUCCAUGUGUAGCGGUGAAAUGCGUAGAUAUAUGGAGGAACACCAGUGGCGAAGGCGGCUCUCUGGUCUGUAACUGACGCUGAGGCUCGAAAGCGUGGGGAGCAAACAGGAUUAGAUACCCUGGUAGUCCACGCCGUAAACGAUGAGUGCUAAGUGGUUGAAGGGUUUCCGCCCUUCAGUGCUGCAGCAAACGCAUUAAGCACUCCGCCUGGGGAGUACGACCGCAAGGUUGAAACUCAAAGGAAUUGACGGGGGCCCGCACAAGCGGUGGAGCAUGUGGUUUAAUUCGAAGCAACGCGAAGAACCUUACCAGGUCUUGACAUCCUUUGACCACUCUAGAGAUAGAGCUUUCCCUUCGGGGACAAAAUGACAGGUGGUGCAAGGUUGUCCUCACCUCCUGUCCUGAGAAGUUUGGGUUAAUUCUCCCAACCAACGCCACCCCUCUUGGUGAUUUGCCCCCCUUUUAUUUGGGGAACUCUCCGAGACUGCCCGUGAUAAACCGAAGAGAAGGGGGGGGGGAAGUCCCAAUCUUCUUGCCCCCUAU
rnacentral:rRNA from 1 species